GAGAAGGCAAUCGCCAGCCGGAUGUUGGUUACCGGUUUAAGUAUUCGAGGUGUUGAGAGACGGAGAAAACGUCUUGAGCUGAGGUACGAGUACGACCUCCUACGGGAGGGAAGUGGUAGAUGUCAGGCUUCCAAGAAAAGCUCUAAACACCAUAAACAAUGUCAGCCUGUACCCGAAACCGACACAGGUAGGGAGGUAGAGUAUACCGAGGGGCGCGAGAUAACUCUCUCUAAGGAACUCGGCAAAAUGGCCCCGUAACUUCGGGAGAAGGGGUGCUGACUUUAAGUCAGCCGCAGUGAAUAGG
rnacentral:rRNA from 1 species